UUUCCGUAGGUGAACCUGCGGAAGGAUCAUUACUGUAUAACCGACGCGCGAGGGCUGUCGCUGACCCGAAAGGUCGUGUACGCUCUUGUGUUCUCACACACAUCCAUCACACCCCUAUCUGCGCCACCUCGACGCUUCUCCUUAGGCCCGUUCGGUGGGGGGCUUACGUUUUCACACAAAUUUUGUAUGCAGUGUAGUAUAUAUUUUUUGUUUUUGCGAUCUCUCAACCAAUACAACUUUCAAUAACGGAUCUCUUGACUCUCGCACCGAUGAAGAACG
rnacentral:misc_RNA from 1 species